rnacentral:rRNA from 1 species
UACGGAGGAUUCAAGCGUUAUCCGGAUUUAUUGGGUUUAAAGGGUGCGUAGGCGGCGUGUCAAGCAAGCGGUAAAAUAGCGGGGCUCAACCCCGUCGAGCCGUUUGAACUGGCGCGCUUGAGUUCAGGCGAGGUAGGCGGAAUUCGUGGUGUAGCGGUGAAAUGCAUAGAUAUAACUUAGAACUCCGAUAGCGAAGGCAGCUUACCAGACUGCGACUGACGCUGAAGCACGAGAGCGUGGGUAGCGAACAGG